rnacentral:rRNA from 1 species
GUAACACUUGCCGGAGGACCGAACCAGUUGACGUUGAAAAGUCUUUGGAUGACUUGUGGUAAGGGGUGAAAGGCCAACCAAAUUCGUAGAUAGCUGGUUUUCCGCGAAAACUAUUUAGGUAGUGCGUUGAGUAAAUUGAUGUUUGGAGGUAGAGCACUAAAGGGGCUAGGGGAGAGAAAUCUUUACCAACCCUCAUAAAACUCCGAAUGCCAAACAUUUUACCUCAGCAGACAGACUGUGGGUGCUAAGGUCCAUGGUCGAAAGGGAAAAAGCCCAGAUCACCAGAUAAGGUCCCCAAAUCAUGAUUAAGUGUGAAAGGAUGUGGAGAUUCCUAAACAGCCGGGAGGUUGGCUUAGAAGCAGCCAUCCUUUAAAGAUAGCGUAACAGCUCACCGGUCUAAUAGAGUUUCUGCGCCAAAGAUGUAACGGGGCUCAAAUCAUGUACCGAAUCUGUGGAUUUAUAAUUUCUUCGGAAAUUAUAUCUGGUAGCGGAACGUUCUGUAAGCCUGUAAAGGGAUACCCGUGAGGGAUUCUGGAGGUAUCAGAAGUGCGAAUGCUGACAUAAGUAACGAUUAACAGAGUGAAAAACUCUGUCGCCGAAAAUCCAAGGGUUCCUGCGCAAGUUAAUCCGCGCAGGGUUAGUCGGUCCCUAAGUCGAGGGCGAGAGCCGUAGACGAUGGAAACAAGGUUAAUAUUCCUUGACCAGAUGGAAGUGACGGAUUUUGUAAGUUGUUAACUCUUAAUGGAUUGAGUUAGCCGCGAAGAAGUCCCAGGAAAUAGCUCCAUCAUUAGACCGUACCCUAAACCGACACAGGUGGAUUAUUAGAGUAUAAUUAGGCGCUUGAGAGAAUGAUGUUGAAGGAACUCGGCAAAAUGCCUCCGUAACUUCGGAAGAAGGAGGACCCAUUUUUAGGCAACUUUAAGUGGGUGGCACAAGCUAGGGAGAUGCGACUGUUUAUCAAAAACACAGGGCUCUGCUAACACGUAAGUGGAUGUAUAGGGUCUGACGCCUGCCCGGUGCUGGAAGGUUAAUGCGAUCAGUGCAAGCUGAUUUCUGAAGCCCCAGUGAACGGCGGCCGUAACUAUAACGGUCCUAAGGUAGCGAAAUUCCUUGUCGGGUAAGUUCCGACCUGCAUGAAUGGCGUAACGAUAUCUCCGCUGUCUCCAACAUCAACUCAGUGAAAUUGAAUUCUCCGUGAAGAUGCGGAGUUCCCGUGGUUAGACGGAAAGACCCCGUGCACCUUUACUACAACUUUAUAUUGGUGUUAGGAAUGAUAUGUUUAGCAUAGGAGGGAGACUUUGAUGUUUAAGCGUCAGC